rnacentral:rRNA from 1 species
CCGCCAGAGAACUACAAGUGAAAAACUUGAAACUCAAAGGACUUGACGGUGUCCCACAUCGGCCUAGAGGAGCCUGUCCUAUAAUCGAUACUCCCCGCUCCACCCAACCCCAACUAGCAUGUGUCAGCCUAUAUACCGCCGUCGAUCAGCCUACCCUGUGAAGGUCCAACAGUAGACACAACAGCCCCUUCGCUAAUACGUCAGGUCAAGGUGUAGCAAAUGUUGGGGAAGAGAUUGGCUACAUUUUUUAUAAUAAAAAAUACGAAAAACACUAUGAAACCGUGCAUGAAGGUGAAUUUAGUAGUAAAAU